rnacentral:rRNA from 1 species
AUUGAACGCUGGCGGCAGGCCUAACACAUGCAAGUCGAACGGUAGCACAGAGAGCUUGCUCUCGGGUGACGAGUGGCAGACGGGUGAGUAACGUCUGGGAAACUGCCCGAUGGAGGGGGAUAACUACUGGAAACGGUAGCUAAUACCGCAUAACGUCGCAAGACCAAAGUGGGGGACCUUCGGGCCUCACACCAUCGGAUGUGCCCAGAUGGGAUUAGCUAGUAGGUGGGGUAAUGGCUCACCUAGGCGACGAUCCCUAGCUGGUCUGAGAGGAUGAACAGCCACACGGGAACUGAGACACGGUCCAGACUCCUACGGGAGGCAGCAGUGGGGAAUAUUGCACAAUGGGCGCAAGCCUGAUGCAGCCAUGCCGCGUGUAUGAAGAAGGCCUUCGGGUUGUAAAGUACUUUCAGCGGGGAGGAAGGCGGUGAAGUUAAUAGCUUCACCGAUUGACGUUACCCGCAGAAGAAGCACCGGCUAACUCCGUGCCAGCAGCCGCAGUAA